UACGUAGGGGCCUAGCGUUGUCCGGAAUUAUUGGGCGUAAAGAGCUCGUAGGCGGCUCAUUGCGUCAACCGUGAAAACCAGCAGCUCAACUGUUGGCUUGCGGUUGAUACGGGUGGGCUGGAGUUCGGUAGGGGAGACUGGAAUUCCUGGUGUAGCGGUGAAAUGCGCAGAUAUCAGGAGGAACACCGGUGGCGAAGGCGGGUCUCUGGGCCGAUACUGACGCUGAGGAGCGAAAGCGUGGGGAGCGAACAGG
rnacentral:rRNA from 1 species